ACCGCGUGAGGGAAGAAGGCUCUUGGGUCGUAAACCUCUUUUGUCAGGGAAGAACACAAUGACGGUACCUGACGAAUCAGCCUCGGCUAACUCCGUGCCAGCAGCCGCGGUAAUACGGAGGAGGCAAGCGUUAUCCGGAAUUAUUGGGCGUAAAGCGUCCGUAGGUGGCUAGUCAAGUCUGCGGUCAAAGACUGGGGCUUAACCCUGGAAAGGCCGUGGAAACUGACGAGCUAGAGUGCAGUAGGGGUAGAGGGAAUUCCCGGUGUAGCGGUGAAAUGCGUAGAGCUCGGGAAGAACAUCGGUGGCGAAAGCGCUCUACUGGACUGCAACUGACACUCAGGGACGAAAGCUAGGGGAGC
rnacentral:rRNA from 1 species